rnacentral:rRNA from 1 species
UGUCUGUCGCCGAGCGUUCAGGCGGUUAUUCUUGAUGAUCUUCACCGGUUGUCUCGGGUGACCGCCAAGUUUACUUUGAAAAAAUUAGAGUGCUCAAAGCAGGCGCGACGCCUGAAUAAUUGUGCAUGGAAUAAUGGAAUAGGACCUCGGUUCUAUUUUGUUGGUUUUCGGAACACGAGGUAAUGAUUAAGAGGGACAGACGGGGGCAUUCGUAUUGCGACGCUAGAGGUGAAAUUCUUGGACCGUCGCAAGACGAACUACUGCGAAAGCAUUUGCCAAGAAUGUUUCCAUUAAUCAAGAACGAAAGUUAGAGGUUCGAAGGCGAUCAGAUACCGCCCUAGUUCUAACCAUAAACGAUGUCAGCCAGCAAUCCGCCUGUGUUCCUCAAAUGACACGGCGGGCGGCUUCCGGGAAACCAAAGCUUUUGGGUUCCGGGGGAAGUAUGGUUGCAAAGCUGAAACUUAAAGGAAUUGACGGAAGGGCACCACCAGAAAUGGAGCCUGCGGCUUAAUUUGACUCAACACGGGUAAACUCACCCGGUCCGGACACAGGAAGGAUUGACAGAUUAAGAGCUCUUUCUUGAUUCUGUGGGUGGUGGUGCAUGGCCGUUCUUAGUUCGUGGGUCGACUUGUCUGGUUAAUUCCGAUAACGAACGAGACUCUAGCCUACUAAAUAGGCGUUCCGAUCCUCUUGAAGUCGGACGCUCUUCUUAGAGGGACAAGCGGCGUUUAGCCGCACGAGACAGAGCAAUAACAGGUCUGAGAUGCCCUUAGAUGUCCGGGGCCGCACGCGCGCUACAUUGAAGGAAUCAGCGUGUGCUUCCCCUGUCCGAAAGGACUGGGUAACCCGUUGAACCUCCUUCGUGCUGGGGAUUGGCGCCUGUAAUUACUCGCCAUGAACGAGGAAUUCCCAGUAAGCACGAGUCAUCAGCUCGUGUUGAUUACGUCCCUGCCCUUUGUGCACACCGCCCGUCGCUACUACUGAUUGAAUGAUUUAGUGAGGUCUUCGGACUGGCUCUCGGAUUGGCCUUCGUGGUCGAGCCGGCGUGCCGGAAAGAUGACCAAAC